AUUUCUUUAUACACCAUACAAUUUUCAGGUUCUUUCACAUGGAAUGAACAAGAAUAUAACCAUCCCCUCUCCCUCUAGCCCCAAAACAAAAGAUUCAAGAAGCAAAACAUCAAUUCUUGAUUCUUCAUUUGUUGCUGUUGAUGGAAGAACAUCAAUCUCGUGGAAUAAAUUUUCACUUCCGUGGCAGCCGAUUGUGUCACUUAUAGGAGGUGAAUGCACAAUUAAUAAAAACUCAUCUUGGACUUACUGUACAAGUGCGCUUUCACUGAGAACAACUUGAUGGGGGUGUCGCACAAUGUGAAAUAGGAAGAGCUUUCGAUGCAAUAGCUUCUCGGAUGUUUUUCUUUCCCCAACACAAAAAACAUAGUCACCGCACAUCAAUCCCCCAACAACGGGUAAUUUUAAGCAUUUGGUAUCUAUAGCGAGUUCAAGGUUCUGCUUUCAUCUGGCCUGCUGGCAAAGAACCUACAAACAAAGAUGUUUGAGAUUAUUAGAGAAGCUGACGCUAAUUCAGAAAACAAAAAUCAUGAAGGACCUGCUCGAGACUGGAGGAUCUGCAACAAUGGACCCUAGGUUUUCUCAGAGGAAGAUGAAAGGGAAGAGUUACAAUUGGAAAUUAACGCUGGACCUUGCUUCAAAAUCGGAAAGUUUUUUACCCUGUUUUCAGCUCGUCCAGAUCUGUUCUCACUAUGGUUCACUCGAUUUUUUCGGACUGAAAUUCCCCAUCUCUGUUUGUAUGUGUAUGUGUAUUCAAAAACGGAGAGAAAGCAAAAUCAGAUGAGGGCAAUGUCUGAAGGUCCCUGGUUCUCGUUCGCUGCUGAAGAAGACGAAGAACAGGGAGGUGUUUUUGGUUGGUGUUGCGGCUGGAAAUGAAGAAGUAGCAGUAGCUCGUCGGUUAGGGGUGUGGUGGCGACGAACUGGUGGGAAGAGCGGCGGGCUUCUUGUUUCUCGCCACUGGGUUACGGCGAGUUAGUGAAGGGGAGGUUGGUGUGAGGAAGGUGAGGUCAGGGGGGUCGGUUUUUUUUGUUCGGGGCGGGUUAUUUGCUCACGGAUCGGGCGGGUUUAUAAUUUUUGGGUGGGCUAAUUUUGGACCAAUGUAAGUAGG
rnacentral:lncRNA from 1 species